AUGACAAUGAAAACCAAGCAGCGCAUGUUAACAGAAGACUGGGAGCUUUUUAAACAAAGAAGAUUCAUUGAAGAACAGUUAACCAAUAAGAAAGCAGUUACUGGCGAGAACAACUUCACAGACACCAUGAGGCACAUGUUGUCGUCCCGGCUGAGCAUGCCCGACUGCCCCAACUGCAACUACAGGAGAAGAUGUGCUUGCGAUGACUGCAGUCUCUCACACAUCCUCACGUGUGGUAUCAUGGACCCCCCCGUCACUGAUGACAUCCACAUUCACCAGCUCCCACUUCAAGUGGAUCCUGCUCCUGACUAUCUUGCUGAGAGGAGCCCGCCCAGUGUGUCAUCUGCAAGCUCGGGAUCCGGCUCCAGCUCUCCCAUCACAAUUCAGCAGCACCCCAGGCUCAUCCUCACAGACAGUGGCUCGGCACCAACUUUUUGUAGUGAUGAUGAAGAUGUUGCACCAUUGUCAGCCAAAUUUGCUGAUAUUUAUCCAUUGAGUAAUUAUGAUGAUACCGAGGUGGUGGCCAACAUGAAUGGAAUCCACAGCGAAUUGAAUGGUGGCGGGGAAAACAUGGCCCUGAAGGAUGAGUCUCCUCAGAUAAGCAGUACCAGCAGUAGUUCCUCAGAAGCUGAUGAUGAAGAAGCGGAUGGCGAGAGUAGUGGGGAGCCCCCAGGGGCCCCGAAGGAAGAUGGAGUGCUGGGAAGCAGGAGCCCCAGGACAGAGGAGAGCAAAGCAGACAGUCCACCCCCAUCCUACCCAACAGAGCAGGCUGAACAAGCUCCAAACACUUGUGAAUGUCAUGUUUGUAAGCAAGAAGCUUCUGGACUGACACCAUCUGCAAUGACAGCCGGAGCCCUUCCUCCUGGCCAUCAGUUCUUGAGCCCAGAGAAGCCCACACACCCUGCACUGCACCUUUACCCUCACAUCCAUGGACAUGUGCCUUUGCACACUGUUCCACACCUGCCACGCCCUCUCAUCCACCCCACCUUGUAUGCAACGCCCCCCUUCACACACAGUAAGGUAAGUCAGGGCAAAAAGGGUCUGAAAGCUCACUCUUCACUGAGAUCCUACAGGAGUACAUAGUCAAACAAAGAAAUCUGUGAAUUAGCAACUUGC
rnacentral:lncRNA from 1 species